UGAAAUUGCUGGCAUUACAGCUUUCUUUUAAUUUACAUCCCAGGUUGCCACAAUUUGUAAGUGUGAAUAGCAAAAUCCUAAAAGCACCUUGCAGUUCAUGAAGAAAAUUAAGGUCCAAUUUAACAAGUGCAUUUCAUGUAACUUAACUUUAGGUGAUUUUUCUGCCCAUAAACAAGAAAAAACUACCAACCUGACAAGAACAGGAUGCCUAACACUGUGUGUGCCUGUGCAGACACUACUUCCAGCACAACCAAAAGUGGCAGCUGCCGCCUGUGCCAGACUUACAAGCACACAAAGCUUUUUAUUUCAAGCAUUCAAAUUCUGGUUUGAUACAGUCAGGAAUUUGGAUGCCGGUCUGGAGAGCAGGCUGAAGUGAGCAGCAGAUACUACUCAGUCCUAGUUUUGGCGAUAGAUUGGUGACCUGAAGUCACCUCGAGUGCAUUCCUGGGAGCUGUUUGCUAGGCGGAGGUUGGGCUUUGCCAGACAGAAGAAAUUCAAGGACCAGCUCCACCAGGCUCCUGCUGCCAUGCCGCCGCUGCCGCCUCGACCCACAAAGCGAAGUCUUGGGUUAAAAUUCAGUGCUAAGACCCGAAAUGCAACCAGCCGGUUUUAUCUAGAGGGCUCUAACAGUAAGCAUCCCGCUGAAAGGCAGUAGGCUGGGAGGCACACACACCAAACAGAAUCUAAACAACUAAAUUUA